CCGCAGCAUGUGGGAUCUUCCCGAACCAGGGCUCAAACCCGUGUCCCCUGCAUUGGCAGGCGGGAUCUUAACCACUGUGCCACCAGGAAAGCCCUGAGUUUGCGUUUGGACUUUAUGUUAAGAAAAGGCUCAGGCCGGCCUCCUUUAGUGUUGACACAGCCACUCCUCCCAGCCUUUGACAACCUUCUGCUCUGGGCCGGGCUGUUUGCAGGAUGGGGGAAAUCAGGCACAAGGAGAUGCUGAGGCGCCACCUCGUGGUUAGAUCUCACAACUGCAGCUCAGGUCCCCCUUUCUGCCUUGCUGCUGAAUUACCAGGAGCAAACUUGGUCUUACCCUGCUAGCCUAGUCCCCUCCCCAUUCCAGAGCCGGGAACUCUCUGACCAUCCCUCACCAAAGUACAGAGCUCAGUCUGCCUUGCACUUUGAGGGUUUAUGCAGGGUUUUUCUUCCUGACCGCACAAGGAAGAGUACUUUGAGAGCAAGGACCAAGGGUAGUUGCCUUUGGCUUUGGGGCCCUUCUAUUCUCUUUUCACUUCCCCAGAUGAUCUCAGUCGCUUCCCUGACUUUAAGGACCCCCUAUACUGACAACUCCUAAAUCUGUCACUUGCCCAGGUCUCUCUCUGAGUUCCAGACGGCAGAGAGCCACUUCCUCCUGGACAUAAGCUAUACGCAUUCACCAUUUACCAAAAUGAGCUUAUAUUUUACACAAACCUGUUUUUCUCUCAGUGUUCCCCGUGACAGUGAGUGGCCCCACUCUCCAGUCACUGGCCCAGAUCAGGAACCUGGGAGUCAUCCUUCGCUCUGUAUCCCUCUUCACUUCCAAUUAAUCACCAAGCCCAAUUAGCUAACUCUGACCUAUACUUUCUCCACCCUCACCGCCACUGGCUCAAUUCAGACUUACUACCUCCUCUCCGAGCUCCCCGACUCAGUCAUCCCUGUUGCAGCCGAAGUCAUCUUUCUGAAAUGCAAAUGGAUCACAUUCCACCUGCUCAAAAAUCCACAGUCUCAACAUGACCCCACAUCCAAACUGCUUAGCCUGGCACACCAGGAACUGUAAGAUCUGGUCCUUGCUCACUGGUCCAACCUCAUCUUCCACCACUCCCCACUUCACACUCUCCACUGUAGCAGUAAUGACCUACUUGCAGUUCCCAAGCUGCGGUCUCUAGGCUUGUCUACCUGGCAAGCUCCUUCUCCCUUCAGGUCUCGCCGCAAAUACUUCCUCCAAGUUUUCCUGGACUUACUCAGCCAGGCUGAGGGGCUCUUAUGCUCCAGCCACACUUUAUUCAGACCCCCCUGGAAGCAACUGCUUACAUCUUUAGGAGCUGUCCUUCGCCUUGUCUGUUUCCUCUCUAGAUUUUAAGCUGCUCCACAGGCAGGGUUUGUCUUUUCAUAUUUUUCAGGGAUUUCAGGGACUUCAUGCCGAGGACAUGACUUUCAGUACAUCCAAUAGAUAAAUGAAUGUUCCUGUCUAUGCACAGCCAACCACAGUGGAGGAUGUGGCAGUGCCACUUGGCCAGAGUCUGCUGACGUGGAGGGGCGGAACUUCACUUGUACACAGGAGCACGAGCGCCCCCCCAGAGGCCUCGCCACAUCAACAUGUGAGUGUGUCACCUGACCUGGCAGUGAAGCGUGUGGGCUGAGAAGUUGGAUGGCCCGCAUGGAGCCUCGACUCUGGCACGUACUGGCUGUAACACCUCGAACAAAUCACCUACCCCUGCUUGAGUGUCUUCACCUGGAGAAUCAGGAUGACGCUCGCUUCAUUGGAUACUUGGGAGGGCUGAAUGAGAGGACACUUGUGAAGUGUGUUUCGCAGGGCAUGUGUGCUGUGAGCUGCUGGGGCCUGGAAGGAAGAAGGUGCAGGACAGACCACACAGAAGCCAUCUUGUCACCAAUGAACAUUUAUUGAGUGUCCACAUGUGCACAGCUUUGAACUGGGCGAUCACAGAACGCACUGGGGGAGGGAAGGGGAGAGGGAAGCAAGGGAUCAGGUUCAUAAGAAAGGUGGUCCCUGCUGGAGCCGCCAGUCGCGUCUCUCUGCAGAGAGGAAUCACAAGCAGGGAUGGGAGUUAAAGCCAGGCACUAGGAUGGUGAUGGGGUGCAGUCACUAGGGAAACAUGCGGAUUCUGGGUAAGCAUCCCUUCGGUUCCUGUCUCCAGCCAGGCCAUAUGGCACCAAGGGGACAGGGAUCAGAUGCUCAGGUGUCCAAGCAGGGAAAAGGGCAGGCAAAAUAAAUAACUCCCCAAC